GACGAACGCUGGCGGCGUGCUUAACACAUGCAAGUCGAACGAUGACGACCGAGCUUGCUCGGUCUGAUUAGUGGCGAACGGGUGAGUAACACGUGAGCAACCUGCCCUUCACUCUGGGAUAACCUCGGGAAAUCGGGGCUAAUACCGGAUAUGAGCUCCUGUCGCAUGGCGGGGGUUGGAAAGUUUUGCGGUGAAGGAUGGGCUCGCGGCCUAUCAGCUUGUUGGUGGGGUAGUGGCUCACCAAGGCGAUGACGGGUAGCCGGCCUGAGAGGGGGACCGGCCACACUGGGACUGAGACACGGCCCAGACUCCUACGGGAGGCAGCAGUGGGGAAUAUUGCACAAUGGGCGGAAGCCUGAUGCAGCGACGCCGCGUGAGGGAUGACGGCCUUCGGGUUGUAAACCUCUUUCAGCAGUGAAGAAGCGAAAGUGACGGUACCUGCAGAAGAAGCGCCGGCUAACUACGUG
rnacentral:rRNA from 1 species